AGACAAGGUAAUAAUAUCAGAUCUCUGUCUAUAUAUAUGUGGAGUUGAUUGAAGGACUCAAAGUUUUAUACAGACCAAGUAAAGGCACUGGACCCCUGGAAGACACACUCUGAUGCCAGCAGAACAGGCUUGCACUCAUAUCCAGAGUUUGAAGACCACUUCCAUGGACCACUGCUGGCAGAAAUGCCCCCAGAGUGGUCGACCAACUGUGCACCCAUGCUCCUAGCCAGAGUAAUAGCUUCAUAGCCCCACCCCCAGCCAGCCAGACCCCAAGUUGGCUGAUCCACCAUGUGCAUGCAUGUGCCUCUGAACUGAAAAACAGCCUGUGCAAACAUGAGUAACAUGGCCCUGCUCUGGAGACUACUGGGAACACAAACACAGCCAUUUAAGACAUCUACCUGCUUCUCCUUUGCCUUCCAUCAUGACUGAAAGUUGUCUGAGGUCUCCCAGCCACGUGUCCUGUACAGCCUGUGGAACUGGAGUAUACAGCCAUAUGAGAAUCACUGUUAUAGGUGAUGAGGCUCCAUGAGAGGGCAUUAACUUCUAAAAGCAUGAGAAACCAUCAUCUUCUUCUGCAAUGAGAGAAUCAAUGUGCCUCAUGAAGUUACAUACCAUGAUGAAAUAAACCAUAAUCCAUCCAAAGUUUACCAGCCUCUUAUCCCUGCAGCGCCACAUUUAACUUGACUCUGAAGUUACAGUUAAAUUAAAAGGGUUUGCAUAUUUUAUUCUCUCUAGUGAUUUUAUUGCUCACUAGAGAUUUGCUGUAUUAAAAAG
rnacentral:lncRNA from 10 species